CAAAUAGUGCGUGAAACCGUUGGGAGGGAAGCGAAUGAGGCCGGCUUGGUCCUCUGCGGGUACAGGCAGGUCGAUGAGCGCCCUCCGGCCGAGGGAUCCCUGUGGGACCCGUCGCCGGUGGGACCGCUCGUCGCCCUAUGCCGCACUCCCGCGUGGACCAGUCAGCGGCAGUUUCUGGCGUGCCAGGCGCCCAGCGGGCAGGUGGCCGAGACCCUCGGGCCUCGGCUCUGGCCCAUGGAGCGCGACGCGGCAGAGACUGAGGAGAGUGGCGGCCCUCGCCCGAGCAGCGCAAGCCGCAAGGCCGGACGGCUGUCACGACUGCGUCGGACCGCUGGGGACUGCGUGCAGUGCCCUUCGAGCGAGAUGCGGGCGUGGCGGCGCAGUCACGAUGUGUGCUGAGGUCGCUGGCGCCCAGCCGGUCCCAUCCGA
rnacentral:sRNA from 15 species